CAUGAUUGGGCAUGAACGAGGCACCUGAGAGAGUCUCAUAAAAGCAGGGAUGGAGUGACGUUUUUUGCUUUGUCAAACAAAUGAUUAUAUAAAGGAUAUUACUACAUGGACUCUGGAACACUUGGUAAAACCACGGUCAACACAUGAAGCUUCAAACUAAUGUGUCAGUGGUUGUGGCAAAACAGAAGAGUGCUUGCUCAUUGAGAAGCCUGAUCUUAUCUGGAGCGAGCUACAGCUGUCGGUGCAUGCUGGUCUGCUUCUGGAGCAUGAGGUCUGGGUGUGGUUUCGAGUCAGCCUGCUGUGUCUGUGCCAGCAGAGAGACACACACGGAGCCCAAAUGCUACAGUCAAACUUGUUUGGGUCACGUGACCACAGAGCCAAGAGUUCAGCUGUUGCUGGAAUCCGUCACUGACGACAAACAGGAAAACAAAGAAACAUGUUUUUCACACUCGUGUCAGUUACUUCUAAGAGCCGGUUGUUUGUUCAAGUAAUUUUGUCCAGAGAGGAAACACCGGAGAGGAAUGGUUUAGAUUCAUCACUGCGUUUUGCAACAGAAGAGAGUCUCAAAGGUCAUAUUAUUCAUAUGACCCAGGUGGUUGUGCCGAGUGAGUCACACUACCUUCAGCUCAGGGAGGAACUCCACCUCAUAAACUUUCUGAGUGGACAACGUGCUUAUGGAGACAAGGACUGUGUGUGUAAAAGUGACAGACUCCAGUUCGGCUCUGUGCUGCAUUCCCCGCUGGUUAUGGGUGUGCCUCGGUGAGAGGCUCCCAUACCCGCCAACUUCAAGGGCGUCAACAAAGAUUUCUCUUGAGCACAUUCCCAGGAAGACGUUUCACUGGUCAGUGCAUGUUAUCCAUUAUUUCAGUGUAAAUAUUUCACAUUGUGAGUCACACACUUGAAAACAUCCUCAAAGAAAAUGGCUUGUUCAAUAAUUAGUUCGUGAUACAGGCUGGAUGUUUCACAGCUCAAAACUGACCUAAUCCAAAUAAUUCAGACCCGAUGACACCGCAGCCAUGAAAACUCUGACGUCUGAUGUGAUGACGAGAUGACCACAAAGACAAAGAAGAAGAAAAUAAAAGCUAGCAUGCAAACAUUUUGAGUUCUGUCUCACAAUGGCUGUCUUUUCUGACGAAACGUCUGACGAACGAAACUGUCUGUGAUAUUUUUAUUAGCCUCCUGAAACUAAAUUGUUUACUGUUUGAGCAUAUCGCUUCCUUUUGUAGCUGUUGUGUGAACAUGUUAGUUUGUUGAUGUGAGCAGUAUCUCAAACCUUACAUUGGCUACAGUACAGCCUCAGAGAGCCACUAGCACAGUGAUAGACUUUUAGCCUUAUUUGGGUGUCUUUAAUACCUUUUACCAGGUCCAAUUUCUGAAAAAUGUAUCAAUGGUUUGUUAAUACCCAUCAAUUUUCUAUUUUUUUUUUGUUUUAGAUGCUAUUUUCAAAACUUUCUUCAUGUCUGACAAUAAAACAUUUGGUGGGCAAGUGAACAACAAUGGAAACAAGUCCAGCAUUAUAUCAAUCUAUUCAAAAACAAAAAACAAAACCAAACACCCAUUUCGAUGUAUUUACUCAAUGUAUUUACACCUGCGCUUCUCUUUUAAUACAGUCCAUGAUUUACUUGCACGCUAUGACAGUCUGGUAGUCCAAAAACUGCAGUCAUGCCGGAUCAAAUUUAACUACACAGAUUAACAGAUGAUGAAUGCUAGGUAAUAACCAUCAGUCAUUGAGUUAACAGUUACAGGUUCCCACGAACCAUAACUUGCUCAACUUGCUCCACCCUGACACCUUACUGGCAGAUCAAUAAGAGUGGUGUAAUCAAGGCUCCAACAGCCAUCAGUCCCACCUCCUCUGGGGCCAAAAAGUGGGAGAUUCCUCUCUCUCCUCCCACAGUAGGACUUGUUUGUUUUUCUCCCCUUCAAGACGGACGAUGAUAGCAUCUGGUGUGUCUCCACAGCGUCUCUACUGUUAAGGGUACUCGCUUUAGUAUGUGAUCAUCUACUUCUUGUGUGCCGUGGGUCUUAUCUCUUAUUCCACGUAGAAUGCACCAGGGUUAAAUUAUUUGUCCCUUGCAGUUCUUUUUCUGGAUGGUACUACUUGAUUCAAAGAAAAAUGUGACAAGGCAAUGUCGGUUUUCCUUGCUUCAAAGGUGGCACUCAAAUAUAAACACUGCAUAUGCGUUUGCCACACUGACAAAAUGACAUUGGGGCAUUAAAUGACACAACUUUUGUCUACUUUUUAUGUUGUCAUUAUUUGAACAUCAAGUAAUUUAACUAUUUCAAAAAAGUAUAUAUUAUUACUAUCUCAGACUGGUGUUUGCAAGGUCCGGGUAGUGCAGAUUGGUGCUGCUCAGCAGUGGCCUGAAGGUAAAAAAAGAGCUGAAACUCCCCAUCUUGCAUUGUUUCUGAUUGAAUCAAAUUCUUGUGCUUGAAGGUCUUUGUUUGAGUACCCAAGUAGCCUAAUGGUUAAGGCACAGACAGACACAUCACUGAAUGCAGUCUUGGUUUUCCUUGUCGAACACAUGAACAAAAACAUUUUUUUAUCAUA